GGGGACGUGGCGCAACGGUAGCGCAUCUGAUUCCAGUUCUGGAAUAUCCAGAAGGCUGUCUGUUCGAAUCAGGCCGUCCUCA